UGGGCUUGACAUCCCGAUCGCACCCCUUGGAAACUUGGGGGUCAGCUUGGCUGGAUCGGUGACAGGUGCUGCAUGGCUGUCGUCAGCUCGUGUCGUGAGAUGUUGGGUUAAGUCCCGCAACGAGCGCAACCCUUGUCCUUAGUUGCCAUCAUUAAGUUGGGCACUCUAGGGAGACUGCCGGUGUUAAACCGGAGGAAGGUGUGGAUGACGUCAAGUCCUCAUGGCCCUUAUGUCCAGGGCUACACACGUGCUACAAUGGCCGGUACAAAGGGCAGCGAUACCGCAAGGUGGAGCGAAUCCCAAAAAGCCGGUCUCAGUUCGGAUUGGAGUCUGCAACUCGACUCCAUGAAGUUGGAAUCGCUAGUAAUCGCGUAUCAGCAUGACGCGGUGAAUACGUUCCCGGGCCU
rnacentral:rRNA from 1 species